CAGCAGCCGCGGUAAUACAAAGGUCCCGAGCGUUGUUCGGAAUCACUGGGCGUAAAGGGAGCGUAGGCGGCGUGGUAAGUCAGAUGUGAAAUCCCGGGGCUCAACCCCGGAACUGCAUCCGAUACUGCCAUGCUAGAGGAUUGGAGAGGUAGCUGGAAUUCUUGGUGUAGCAGUGAAAUGCGUGGAGAUCGAGAGGAACACUCGUGGCGAAAGCGAGCUACUGGACAAUAACUGACGCUGAGGCUCGAAGGCCAGGGUAGCGAAAGGGAUUAGAUACCCCUGUAGUCCCUGUCUCUUAUAC
rnacentral:rRNA from 1 species